rnacentral:lncRNA from 1 species
UUUUACUUGAGGACUACUAACGUAGUUACAGGUAUACUGAGGACUAAAGGAGUUAAAGGCAAGGAGAGACUGAGGGCAUUAUGCUUGUUACGCCUGCAGAAGAGAAGUAACAGCAGCCUUUCCCAAUAACUAGAAUAGGGUUAUAGAAAACAUGGAACCAGACUCUUCUCUGAGGCUCAUAACUGAAGAACAAGAGGCAAUACUCAUAUCAUUCACAGAUCCCUUCAAACUUUUAUUUGUUCACAGAUGCAUUUCAUCGUAUCCAAAAAGUUUCAAAAUUCACUAAAUCACAGAACUUGUUCCAACAGUGUCAAGCUACACAGAAGAGACUAUCAGAAGGAUGCAGUUUUAAAGAGCUAAUUGAUAAGCAAAACAAAACAAAAGAUUUUUCUUACAUCAGGAAAGCACGUGAAGUCAUCCAAUUUUACUGAAGCAUGCUACUUUGGAAAAGAAGCAAUUCUUCUGCUGAGAGAAGCUGAAGAUUAGUUUAAAGUCUACAAAGAACAUCAAGGUUGGAAGAGACCCCUAGGAUUGCCUCAUCCAACCGCCAGCCCACCCCCACCAUGCCCACUGACCGUGUCCUUCAGUGCCACAUCUAACAUGGUUCUUGAACACCUCCAGGGAUGGUGAUGGCACCACCUCUCUGGGCAGACCGUGCAACUGCCUCGCCGUUCUUUCAGACAAGAAAUGUUUCCUAAUACCCAACCUGCAUCUCCUCUGGCACAACUUGAGACCAUCACCUCUCAUCCUAUUGCUGUUACAUGGGAGAAGAGGCCGACCACAGCCUCCCUUCAGGCAGCUGUAGAGAGCGUUAAGGUCUCACUGAGCCCUCUCUUCAGACUGAACAAUCCCAGUUCCCUCAGCCACUCCCCAUCAGAUUUGUGCUCCAGACCCCUCACAGCUUCGUCGCCCUUCUCUGGACAUUCUCUAGGGUCUGAGUGCCUUUCUCGGAGCGGGGCGGGGCCCAGAACUGAACACAGCGCCGGAGGUGCAGCAAAUAUGGCCCUGUCCUCACCUGCGCAGCUAACAAGUACCACUGUUUCUUUACUCUCUGACCUCCUGACUCAGUGCAAAGGCGUCCUGAGAGAACAACCAAGACGAAGCCCGGCACAACGGCACCGCCCGGAGCCGGACAGCGCGAG